AAGCAGCACAGCUCUUUCCAAUGCACUGCUGAUUAAGGCAGCUAGAAGAGUGAGGGUUUUGGGACCCGUAGAUUUUCUCUGGUUUGCAAGCAGAGGGGUUGCUAUAGCCCUUGUGUGAGGCAUUUAGUGCUAUCAAGUGUGAACCAGGGCUUUGAGAAAGAAGAAACAGAAGACGAAGGCAAAAUGAAAACAAAGCAGGGGAGGAGCAUUUCUAGACCAAAGAAGGCUGAACUAGGUUUGAAAGGGCAAUGAUGAGAAUCCACAGCACACAUCUUCUCCAGAGCCCUCAACAUGUGUGAAGGAAGGAAAAAAUCAUCACCUGCAAGCUUACAGAUGAACUGUCUCCCUAGGCUAUAUGUUCUUAUUCAAAGGGGCUUCCUGGUGGAUGCAAAUACAGUUAAGAGCUGUAUUUGCAUGUUGCAGAUGUUAACUUUCUGUUAAAACAAUACAACCAGUCAUGUGUUUUGCAUUUGUCUUGACAUAAAAGUGCACAGGGAUAGAUAUAUUCACCUACAUCUGAACAGUUCCAGGCACAGUCUACAGCCCCUUCCGUGACUGGUUGCAUAGGUCAGUGUCUCCAGACCUAAAACACUUAGAAAACAUCUGAACCCAUAUUUGGGAAUCUGGAUUGAUGGCCAACAACUUUUUGGAAGGAUGUAAAGCAAAUGCGACUGCCACCAAAACAGGUGCCAGUUUUGAGUUCUCAGCUCUGACAGGGAUAAAUGCCUGUUUUUAUUUCCUCUACAGUCCUCUGCAUCUCAUUGUCUUGAUCCACAAACUCUGAAAGGAAACUCUGCAACAUGGAAAAUACUGAAUGUCUGAUCCAAAGCACAUUGAAAUACACAAAAAUCACUAUGAUGGGCUUUGGAUCAGGUCCUGAGUAAACUAAUUCUUGGAUCGUCACCUCUGGUCAUAAUAGCCCUUUGUUCUGCCUUUUUAAUGACUAAUGAUUGUUAUAAAAAGCCUUAUGUAAUUUCUGGCAUGGUUAGACAUCAUAUAUGAGAGGUGUAUAAUCUUAGAAAUGCUCUAGCUAGUUUCUUGGGUUGUGUAACAAAUAAUUAUGGAAUCUUGCUGAGCCUCACUUUAUUAUUAUACAGCUCCAGGCUCUUACCCCCAGUGGCUUUACAAGCUUGUUAAUAUUUAAGCUAUCUUGUAGCUUGGGUAAAUUGUAAUGACUUUUUUGUUACUGAAGCUAAUAUUAAACAAAAGAAGUUGUUGGGGGAAAGGGGAAAAGGUAUGAUGGAUGUUAUAUUCUCCUGAAGGUGCUUUUCCUUGCUUUAAUAGCUUUUGGCUGAUUCACAAGUACAAAUGAAAUAGGAAUCUCUUCCAAAGCCUUCCUUCUGUGCCUCUCUGGAUAAGCAGAAAGACAGCCUUGCUCUUCACAGCGGAUAGGGUAAUGGUGGGCAUGCAGGCUUGCCCUGAAGAAUAAUUUCGUACAAAAUCCAAGUGACUUAGAGAUGUUUUUUGGUGAAUAAGACUAAAAUCUAGCCAAAACCUAUUAAAAUCAGGAAGUCUUCUGACUACAGAAAGUAGCCAGGCCUGCAGAAAUGGACAAAAUAAUUCAGCCACUCUUUGUUAUAAAACAAGGUGGACAAGAUAGCUCUUGUUCCUGCUGCCUCUGUCCAGUCCUGUUAUGCCAUGAAAACUUUCUCUGCCUGCUCCAAUUAAAAAAACAACAAAACAGUUACUUAAGAUAUCUAUAGCUGCUAUUUAGGGUCAGAAGAACAGAUCUGUGGUUUAAUUAAUAUCCAAUUUGUGUAUAAUUAGAUUUGGUCUUUGACUGGGCUGGUGCUUCCGCUGCCUGCUCAGGUGGUAGACAAGGCUUCAGGAAUGGUAUAUGCAACUAUAGAUGUCCCCGGUGUGGUGGUGGGUUGGAUGAUUGCCUAUAGGGUUUUCAAGCAUGACUAACUUCAUCUGGCUUCCACAAGCUUUUAGUCUUCAAAGGGAACUCACAUGGUGUGUUGCAAGAUCUAUAAAAUCUCAUGUAGUAUAAAGAUGAAGGGACAGAGCCACACACCUAGUACUGAUGGCAUACGUAGGUCCAAGAUGACCUGCCAAAGCUGGGUGGGGUGUGCCUGGAUUUUUCAUGUAGAGCAGCUCAAACUUUAAAGGAAAAAAAAAGCAGCAGCAGGUGGGGCUCUGAAACAGCAAUUACCACAGGAGAGAGGCUUUGAUUUUUCUAAUGAAAACUAAAGGUCUGUAGUUAGUUGUAGCUAGAAAAACAAAAACCAAAAAACAAACAAACAAAAACAAUAGCACCAAGUAAAUAUUAUUUAUUGAUGGCUAUUAUUGCAUCAUAUGUACUUGGAUUGUAUGGAUCCAUGGUAUACCCAGCUCUCAAAUGUGGUUCCAGGCCUCCCAACCCCGUGCAGUUGCCACCACUUCUGCAUCUGAAAGUGCCAUAGUAAAGGUAGAGUUUCACAAAUAUGGUCAAGAUAAGGAAUGAGUGUACUGUGACUCUUCAAGGGAUGCCUCAGAAAGGGAAUGUGAUAGAGGUCUCUUGUGAGAGGAGAAAAGUGCUUAGAAAAAUGGUUGCUAAUUUCUCUCAGCUGACUGUUGUUUAUCCUGAGCUUUGUUAUGUGGCACAUUCAGUGUGAUGAAGCAGAAGAUGCUUCAUUAUAAGACAAGACUACCUGUGGAUUUGAACUGAAAAAAAAAAUGGUAUGGGCUCAAAGUGAUGGGAUAUUCCUGAAGGAAAAGUUCUUCAAGGGCUAGGGAAUGCAAGGGUCCUGUUUUGACUUAUGUUUAUUGUAAGCUUCAUGUAGGCUUAGGAAAUGCUUUGGGAAUGUUAACCUGCUGUUGUACAUUCUUUAACCUAAGGAGCAUAGCUGCCUCAGAUGGGAGUCUGGCCUAAAUAAACCCUUGCUUUGAUAUAAGAUAGGUCUUUAAAAUUGGAUGUGUCUGAAGGGAUUUGGUAAUUGCAUGGAUUCCUAUGAAAAGAUGUACAACUCUUCUCAACAACUCUUCUCACAAUCCAGUUUGGUGUUUCCUGUAGUGUUUUAUUACCAGUUAUAGAUCUCUAUGAUGGAUUCACUUAGGUCAGAAAUAAACUUGGGCUUUAAGUAAAAUGUGUGAGCUGCAUGGCAUACAGUGGAGUUCUCUUGGACAGAGCAGCUGGGGAAGAGGUUGCCUACCUGACAUGGUGUGCUGGUGGUAUCUGACAAGCUACCUGCCCUGCUGAGGUUUUUCCACAUCAUUUGUGGGCACAGGAAGAGACAGCAUUGCCUCUUAGGUUAAAAUGAAAUCUAUGGGGUGAUGAACAGUGUGGUCACCUCCACCAUCCUCAGUGCAGGUACACGCUGCUGUACAGAAAGGAGACUCACUCCUUUCUUUCUCAUGUCAGAGGGCUGGAUUCCCUCCUCUUUGUAGCCUGUGGGCCCUUCUCUGGUUGCACAGCAAGAAACUGGAUCUCUAAACCUUUUUUCAUGCAAAAUUUUUCACGGUACAAUUUACAUCAGUGAAACAGUACUUGCAGGUUUAAGUUUUUAUUUAUUUUUUUGUCUAUGGGCCCUGUGUUCAUAGUUCAGAUGUGACCAAGCGUAACCUACCCUUCUCUAUAAUAGCAUACAGGUUUUUACCAAGAUAAGCUAUUUAAGUUAUUUAAGUGAAUUGGAAUACAUGUUUGUGCAGCCAGAAAUGAAGUGCAGUCAUUUUUGUCAUGUUAAUGUAAAUGGCAACUUGCCAAAUAAUUGAAACUUCUAUUUGUAAAACAGUAUGGAUGUAUUUUUCAAAUCAUGUGUUGAAUGCCUUGAUGUGAACUCUAUUGAAAUUAUGUUUAUUAAAUGGCAGACCUAAAAAUUAUU